GUUGGAAUGUAGCGUAUAGGUUUGGCCAAAUUUGGUCGUACACUGCAUAAAACCCAAAGUUUACCUUGAACGGGACCAUGAUCCAUAGAAGGUGUCAGACCUGUACGGGUUGUGUUCGUGUACGAUUGGUCAUACUUCAGAGUCGGGUUGCCUGAGAUCGCAGCCCAAAUUUGGUGGUAGACUUCAUCUAAGGCUAAAUAUGGCCACGAGACCGAUAGCAAACAAGUACCGUGAGGGAAAGUUGCAAAGAACUUUGAAGAGAGAGUUCAAGAGGGCGUGAAACCGCUGAGAAUGAAGCGGAUAGAGUCGACGAAACUUAAUCAGUAUUCAACCAACACGUUGAACGGUUUUUGCAAACGUACGUUGUGUCCAUUAGGUCAUAACGUUAAGCGUUCGCUUUAACUGUACAACGUUAAUGUUGGCGUAUUUGCUGAUUGUAUGCAUUGAGAGCUUCGUAUUUGAGAGCGCACGACAACAACUCAUCCAGUAGAGGCUCGUCAUUUGGUGUUAAAACCAAAUCUUUGACGAUAACCUACUGAGAGUUGACUUAGGCGUGUCGCAUAUGAAGUUUGCGUUUUACGCGCGCAAUUAAUAAAAUGUACUUCCAUUUUAUUCAAGCGUUCUUUUCGAAUUUUUCUAACAUAGUCUAUUUUGUGCGAUAUGUUUGCUGUGUCUAGUGCGCAGAACGUCGUCGAAAUUUCGGCUUGUUAUUUGAGAAUGAAACGCAAUUAUUGCGUGUCUCAGUGUGAACGUCGGUCACCUAUCCGACCCGUCUUGAAACACGGACCAAGGAGUCUAGCGUAUACGCAAGUCAUUGGGUGUGCGAAUACCUAAAGGCGCAAUGAAAGUGAACAUCGUUGUCGUUGAAAUUUCGUGUUUCGACGCUUCGAUAGAUAUGUGAUUUCUAGUGUGUUUUUUUUUCCUCUCGGUCUAUACGAUAAAAAAAAUUCACUAUAAAGCAGCAUAGUCCCGUCUUAAUUACAUGUAAUGAGGCGGAGAAUGAGCGUAUGCGCUGGGACCCGAAAGA
rnacentral:rRNA from 1 species